CCUCCGUUCUGCCGCCGUAGGGAAUUUUCGGCAAUGGGGGGAACCCUGACCGAGCAACGCCGCGUGAACGAAGAAGUUAUUCGUAAUGUAAAGUUCUUUUAACAGGGAAGAAAGAGAAAUUUGACGGUACCUUAAGAUUAAGCUCCGGCUAACUACGUGCCAGCAGCCGCGGUAAUACGUAGGGAGCGAGCGUGAUCCGGAAUUAUUGGGCGAAAGGGGUGCGUAGAUGGCAUAGUAAGUCUUUUGUAAAAAUGCUGGGCUCAACCCAGUAGGGCAAAAGAUACUGCAAAGCUAGAGUAUGACAGAGGCAAGUGGAACUACAUGUGUAGCGGUAAAAUGCGUAGAUAUAUGUAAGAACACCAGUGGCGAAGGCGGCUUGCUGGAUCGAUACUGACGUUGAGGCACGAAAGCGUGGGGAGCAAACAGGAUUAGAUACCCUAGUAGUC
rnacentral:rRNA from 1 species